rnacentral:rRNA from 1 species
CACGGGUGAGUAACACGUAGGUGACCUACCUCUAAGUCGGGGACAACAUCGGGAAACUGAUGCUAAUACCGGAUGUGGUAAUCGAAUUUGAAAGUAGAUUACUAAAGACAGCCUCUGCAUAUGCAGUUGCUUGGAGAAGGGCCUGCGGUACAUUAGCUUGAUGGUGGGGUAAUGGCCUACCAUGGCUACGAUGUAUAGGGGGUCUGAGAGGAUGAUCCCCCACACUGGAACUGAGACACGGUCCAGACUCC